CAUGCAAGUCGAACGGUAACAGGUUAAGCUGACGAGUGGCGAACGGGUGAGUAAUGUAUCGGAACGUGCCCAGUCGUGGGGGAUAACUGCUCGAAAGAGCAGCUAAUACCGCAUACGACCUGAGGGUGAAAGCGGGGGAUCGCAAGACCUCGCGCGAUUGGAGCGGCCGAUAUCAGAUUAGGUAGUUGGUGGGGUAAAGGCUCACCAAGCCAACGAUCUGUAGCUGGUCUGAGAGGACGACCAGCCACACUGGGACUGAGACACGGCCCAGACUCCUACGGGAGGCAGCAGUGGGGAAUUUUGGACAAUGGGCGCAAGCCUGAUCCAGCCAUGCCGCGUGCGGGAAGAAGGCCUUCGGGUUGUAAACCGCUUUUGUCAGGGAAGAAAAGGUUCUGGCUAAUACCUGGGACUCAUGACGGUACCUGAAGAAUAAGCACCGGCUAACUACGUGCCAGCAGCCGCGGUAAUACGUAGGGUGCAAGCGUUAAUCGGAAUUACUGGGCGUAAAGCGUGCGCAGGCGGUUAUGCAAGACAGAGGUGAAAUCCCCGGGCUCAACCUGGGAACUGCCUUUGUGACUGCAUAGCUAGAGUGCGGCAGAGGGGGAUGGAUUCCGCGUGUAGCAGUGAAAUGCGUAGAUAUGCGGAGGACACCGAUGGCGAAGGCAAUCCCCUGGGCCUGCAC
rnacentral:rRNA from 1 species